rnacentral:rRNA from 1 species
UACAGAGGGGGCAAGCGUUAUUCGGAAUUAUUGGGCGUAAAGAGCUCGUAGGCGGUUUGUCGCGUCUGCUGUGAAAACCCGGGGCUCAACUCCGGGCCUGCAGUCGAUACGGGCUGGCUUGAGUGCGGUAGGGGAGACUGGAAUUCCUGGUGUAGCGGUGAAAUGCGCAGAUAUCAGGAGGAACACCGAUGGCGAAGGCAGGUCUCUGGGCCACUACUGACGCUGAGAAGCGAAAGCAUGGGGAGCGAACAGG